rnacentral:rRNA from 1 species
GGUUAAGCGACUAAGCGUACACGGUGGAUGCCCUGGCAGUCAGAGGCGAUGAAGGACGUGCUAAUCUGCGAAAAGCGCCGGCGAGGUGAUAUGAACCCUUGACCCGGCGAUGUCCGAAUGGGGAAACCCAGUGCAAUCCGUUGCACUAUCGUUAACUGAAUACAUAGGUUAACGAGGCGAACCGGGGGAACUGAAACAUCUAAGUACCCCGAGGAAAAGAAAUCAACCGAGAUUCCCCCAGUAGCGGCGAGCGAACGGGGAGCAGCCCAGAGUCUGAAUCAGCUUGUGUGUUAGUGGAAGCGUCUGGAAAGUCGCACGGUACAGGGUGAAAGUCCCGUACACGAAAGCACACAGGCUGUGAACUCGAAGAGUAGGGCGGGACACGUGGUAUCCUGUCUGAAUAUGGGGGGACCAUCCUCCAAGGCUAAAUACUCCUGACUGACCGAUAGUGAACCAGUACCGUGAGGGAAAGGCGAAAAGAACCCCGGCGAGGGGAGUGAAAAAGAACCUGAAACCGUGUACGUACAAGCAGUGGGAGCACCUUCGUGGUGUGACUGCGUACCUUUUGUAUAAUGGGUCAGCGACUUAUAUUCUGUAGCAAGGUUAACCGUAUAGGGGAGCCGAAGGGAAACCGAGUCUUAACUGGGCGUUAAGUUGCAGGGUAUAGACCCGAAACCCGGUGAUCUAGCCAUGGGCAGGUUGAAGGUUGGGUAACACUAACUGGAGGACCGAACCGACUAAUGUUGAAAAAUUAGCGGAUGACCUGUGGCUGGGGGUGAAAGGCCAAUCAAACCGGGAGAUAGCUGGUUCUCCCCGAAAGCUAUUUAGGUAGCGCCUCGUGAACUCAUCUUCGGGGGUAGAGCACUGUUUCGGCUAGGGGGCCAUCCCGGCUUACCAACCCGAUGCAAACUACGAAUACCGAAGAAUGUUAUCACGGGAGACACACGGCGGGUGCUAACGUCCGUCGUGAAGAGGGAAACAACCCAGACCGCCAGCUAAGGUCCCAAAGUCAUGGUUAAGUGGGAAACGAUGUGGGAAGGCCCAGACAGCCAGGAUGUUGGCUUAGAAGCAGCCAUCAUUUAAAGAAAGCGUAAUAGCUCACUGGUCGAGUCGGCCUGCGCGGAAGAUGUAACGGGGCUAAACCAUGCACCGAAGCUGCGGCAGCGACGCUUAUGCGUUGUUGGGUAGGGGAGCGUUCUGUAAGCCGUUGAAGGUGGCCUGUGAGGGUUGCUGGAGGUAUCAGAAGUGCGAAUGCUGACAUAAGUAACGAUAAAGCGGGUGAAAAGCCCGCUCGCCGGAAGACCAAGGGUUCCUGUCCAACGUUAAUCGGGGCAGGGUGAGUCGACCCCUAAGGCGAGGCCGAAAGGCGUAGUCGAUGGGAAACAGGUUAAUAUUCCUGUACUUGGUGUUACUGCGAAGGGGGGACGGAGAAGGCUAUGUUAGCCGGGCGACGGUUGUCCCGGUUUAAGCAUGUAGGCGGAGGUUCCAGGUAAAUCCGGUACCUUUUAACGCUGAGGUGUGAUGACGAGGCACUACGGUGCUGAAGUAACAAAUGCCCUGCUUCCAGGAAAAGCCUCUAAGCAUCAGGUAACACGAAAUCGUACCCCAAACCGACACAGGUGGUCAGGUAGAGAAUACCAAGGCGCUUGAGAGAACUCGGGUGAAGGAACUAGGCAAAAUGGUGCCGUAACUUCGGGAGAAGGCACGCUGAUAUGUAGGUGAAGCCCCUGCGGGUGGAGCUGAAAUCAGUCGAAGAUACCAGCUGGCUGCAACUGUUUAUUAAAAACACAGCACUGUGCAAACACGAAAGUGGACGUAUACGGUGUGACGCCUGCCCGGUGCCGGAAGGUUAAUUGAUGGGGUUAGCGGUAACGCGAAGCUCUUGAUCGAAGCCCCGGUAAACGGCGGCCGUAACUAUAACGGUCCUAAGGUAGCGAAAUUCCUUGUCGGGUAAGUUCCGACCUGCACGAAUGGCGUAAUGAUGGCCAGGCUGUCUCCACCCGAGACUCAGUGAAAUUGAACUCGCUGUGAAGAUGCAGUGUACCCGCGGCAAGACGGAAAGACCCCGUGAACCUUUACUAUAGCUUGACACUGAACACUGGUCCUUGAUGUGUAGGAUAGGUGGGAGGCUUUGAAGCGUGGACGCCAGUCUGCGUGGAGCCGUCCUUGAAAUACCACCCUUUAAUGGCUGGUGUUCUAACGUAGACCCGUAAUCCGGGUUGCGGACAGUGUCUGGUGGGUAGUUUGACUGGGGCGGUCUCCUCCCAAAGAGUAACGGAGGAGCACGAAGGUUAGCUAAUCCUGGUCGGACAUCAGGAGGUUAGUGCAAUGGCAUAAGCUAGCUUGACUGCGAGAGUGACGGCUCGAGCAGGUGCGAAAGCAGGUCAUAGUGAUCCGGUGGUUCUGAAUGGAAGGGCCAUCGCUCAACGGAUAAAAGGUACUCCGGGGAUAACAGGCUGAUACCGCCCAAGAGUUCAUAUCGACGGCGGUGUUUGGCACCUCGAUGUCGGCUCAUCACAUCCUGGGGCUGAAGUAGGUCCCAAGGGUAUGGCUGUUCGCCAUUUAAAGUGGUACGCGAGCUGGGUUUAGAACGUCGUGAGACAGUUCGGUCCCUAUCUGCCGUGGGCGCUGGAGAAUUGAGGGGGGCUGCUCCUAGUACGAGAGGACCGGAGUGGACGCAUCACUGGUGUUCGGGUUGUCAUGCCAAUGGCACUGCCCGGUAGCUAAAUGCGGAAGAGAUAAGUGCUGAAAGCAUCUAAGCACGAAACUUGCCCCGAGAUGAGUUCUCCCUGAGACUU